rnacentral:rRNA from 1 species
GAUGAACGCUAGCGGCAGGCUUAAUACAUGCAAGUCGAACGGUAAGGUUUCUUCGGAGACACACGAGUGGCGCACGGAUGCGUAACGCGUAUGCAACCUACCUAUAACUGGGGAAUAGCCCCGAGAAAUCGGGAUUAAUACUCCAUAACAUCCUUUGGAUGCAUAUCUGAGGGAUUAAAGCUCCGGCGGUUAUAGAUGGGCAUGCGUGGCAUUAGCUAGUUGGUGAGGUAACGGCUCACCAAGGCGACGAUGCCUAGGGGUCCUGAGAGGGUUAACCCCCACACUGGUACUGAGACACGGACCAGACUCCUACGGGAGGCAGCAGUAAGGAAUAUUGGGCAAUGGACGCAAGUCUGACCCAGCCAUGCCGCGUGAAGGAUGACUGCCCUAUGGGUUGUAAACUUCUUUUGUACGGGAAAAAACUCUCGGUCGUGCACCGGGACUGAUGGUACCGUGCGAAUAAGCAUCGGUUAACUCCGUGCCAGCAGCCGCGGUAAGAC